rnacentral:lncRNA from 1 species
CCUAGAGUUGUAUUUUACUUCAAAUAAUUAAUUUCCAGCUUCCACCUCCUUCUUUCAAAGUGAAAGAGCUGUGGAACUUUGAUUUAUGUUGGUAAAUAGGUGGGUAAAGACUGACUCUCAUGGACGUUAACUGCUGGUGGUCCGUGCUGUGCUCGGAGAGCCCCGCUCCGCGGCAGUAAGUGCAGCCCGAGCAUCCCUGGCCUCACCAGGCAGGCUUUCAAAGCCAGAGGGCAUUUUCACUUCCAGGGCCGUGUCUACCGGGAUUUCCUUGGCAAGAAGCAGGAUCAUCAGCAUGUGAGGUCUCCAUGCUCCUGGGGGAACUGUGUGUGUGUGUGCAAAUAUUUUUUUAAAAAGGCAGCAACUUGGCAUACCAUAUUACAAAAAUAGCCCUGUUAGAAAACACUGCGUUUGGAAAUAGAACUUCCUAUUCAAAUCAGGGCAAGGGGCAAAGGGAUCGUGAGGCAAAAGGAGUCCUCUGUGUGUGUGUGUGUGUGUGUGUGUGUGUGUGUGUCCUGAAUAAAUGAAUCAGAGAUGCAGCAAGGCUGGCUGUCCUCUGUCCUGGGUCUCUGGAUAUUUCUGAGGGUUAAUGCAGCGGAGGCCAGGCCGGGAGAGGGCUGCCAGCUGAUCUGUUUCAGCUGGGUCCUGCCAGGCAGCUACAGAGCAUUAAGGAGCAUUAACUGUCUCCUGUCCGAGCUGCAGGCUGUGGAUAGGCCCUGGGGGGUGCGAGGAAGGGGCUGGGAUUCCCUCAGGAGAUGCACCGUCAUAUAUGUUCAGCUUCUCUGCAGUGGCUGCCAACCUGUAUGGCUGCUGUGUGACAUGGCUAUCUUCUCGCGGGAGCCGCUGGAGACCUCCAGGAUAGAAAGCCAGCUCUCUGGGAUGAGGUCGAAUGAAUCCUCCCGAAAGGAAGGCAGACGCCCAGUUGAGAUUCGUUAUGCCGUGGCUCUGUGAAGUUUUCUCACGCUUUGUUCCACGGGGUUAGGAAGGCACACUGUGCUCUUUCUUCCUGCCACACAGUGGUUAGUAGAUAUUUGCAACAUAAAAAUAAAGGAGAUUUUCC